rnacentral:rRNA from 1 species
CUACGGGUGGCUCCAGUGAGGAAUAUUGCACAAUGGGGGGAACCCUGAUGCAGCAACGCCGCGUGGAGGAUGACGCAUUUCGGUGUGUAAACUCCUUUUAUAUGUCAAGAAAAUGACGGUAGCAUAUGAAUAAGCACCGGCUAACUCCGUGCCAGCAGCCGCGGUAAUACGGAGGGCGCAAGCGUUACUCGGAAUCACUGGGCGUAAAGGACGCGUAGGCGGGUUGAAAAGUCAGGUGUGAAAGCCUACAGCUUAACUGUAGAACUGCACUUGAAACUCUCAACCUAGAGUAUGGGAGGGGCAGAUGGAAUUAGUGGUGUAGGGGUAAAAUCCGUAGAUAUCACUAGGAAUACCUAAAGCGAAGGCGAUCUGCUGGAACAUUACUGACGCUAAGGCGUGAAAGCGUGGGGAGCAAACAGGAUUAGAUACCCGGGUAGUC